CCCCUACUUGUUAGUUGCCAUCAUUCAGUUGGGCACUCUAGCGAGACUGCCGGUAAUAAACCGGAGGAAGGUGGGGGAUGGCGUCAAAUCAUCAUGCCCCUUAUGACCUGGGCUACACACGUGCUACAAUGGUUGGUACAACGAGUUGCGAGUCGGUGACGGCGAGCUAAUCUCUUAAAGCCAAUCUCAGUUCGGAUUGUAGGCUGCAACUCGCCUACAUGAAGUCGGAAUCGCUAGUAAUCGCGGAUCAGCACGCCGCGGUGAAUACGUUCCCGGGCCUU
rnacentral:rRNA from 1 species